rnacentral:tRNA from 1 species
GCCGGGAUGGCGGAAUUGGCAGACGCUGGGGACUUAAAAUCCCUUGGGCCCAACGGCUCGUGCGGGUUCGACCCCCGCUCCCGGCACCA